rnacentral:tRNA from 1 species
UGGUUGACUGGUUAAAGUGCCCAACUCAUAAUUGGUAAAUCGUAGGGUUCAAUUCCUAC